UACGUAGGGGGCAAGCGUUGUCCGGAAUCAUUGGGCGUAAAGAGCGCGUAGGCGGCCCUGUAAGUCCGCUGUGAAAGUCAAGGGCUCAACCCUUGGAUGCCGGUGGAUACUGCAGGGCUAGAGUCCGGAAGAGGCGAGUGGAAUUCCCAGUGUAGAGGUGAAAUUCGUAGAUAUUGGGAAGAACACCGGUGGCGAAGGCGGCCAACUGGACCAUUUCUGACGCUGAGGCGCGAAAGCGUGGGGAGCAAACAGG
rnacentral:rRNA from 1 species